rnacentral:rRNA from 1 species
AGUGAACGCUGGCGGUAGGCCUAACACAUGCAAGUCGAACGGCAGCACAGUAAGAGCUUGCUCUUACGGGUGGCGAGUGGCGGACGGGUGAGGAAUACAUCGGAAUCUACUUUUUCGUGGGGGAUAACGUAGGGAAACUUACGCUAAUACCGCAUACGCCCUACGGGUGAAAGCAGGGGAUCUUCGGACCUUGCGCGAUUGAAUGAGCCGAUGUCGGAUUAGCUAGUUGGCGGGGUAAAGGCCCACCAAGGCGACGAUCCGUAGCUGGUCUGAGAGGAUGAUCAGCCACACUGGAACUGAGACACGGUCCAGACUCCUACGGGAGGCAGCAGUGGGGAAUAUUGGACAAUGGGCGCAAGCCUGAUCCAGCCAUACCGCGUGGGUGAAGAAGGCCUUCGGGUUGUAAAGCCCUUUUGUUGGGAAAGAAAAGCAGCAGGUUAAUACCCCGCUGUUCUGACGGUACCCAAAGAAUAAGGACCGGCUAACUUCGUG